CGCGUAGGCGGCUUGGCAAGUCGGAUGUGAAAGCCCCGGGCUUAACUCGGGAAUUGCAUCUGAAACUGCUUUGCUUGAGUCCUGGAGGGGGUAGUGGAAUUCCCAGUGUAGCGGUGAAAUGCGUAGAUAUUGGGAGGAACACCUGCGGCGAAGGCGGCUACCUGGACAGUGACUGACGCUGAUGCGCGAAAGCUAGGGGAGCAAACGGGAUUAGAUACCCCGGUAGUCCUAGCCGUAAACGAUGGGCACUUGGUGUCGGGGGUAUUGAGUCCCCCGGUGCCGGAGUUAACACGUUAAGUGCCCCGCCUGGGGAGUACGGUCGCAAGACUGAA
rnacentral:rRNA from 1 species